rnacentral:rRNA from 1 species
UACGGAGGGUGCAAGCGUUAUCCGGAUUCACUGGGUUUAAAGGGUGCGUAGGCGGGCAGGUAAGUCCGUGGUGAAAUCUCUGAGCUUAACUCAGAAACUGCCAUGGAUACUAUUUGUCUUGAAUAUUGUGGAGGUAAGCGGAAUAUGUCAUGUAGCGGUGAAAUGCUUAGAUAUGACAUAGAACACCAAUUGCGAAGGCAGCUCACUAAGCAAAUAUUGACGCUGAGGCACGAAAGCGUGGGGAUCAAACAGG